CAACAUUUUAUUUAGCUCUUUGGUGCCAGCACAGUGCCAAUGUACCCAUAUGCACACCCCCUCCCCCAAGGCUUACAGUCUGAGGAAAAAACACACAGUCCCCACCCAGCCUGGGACGAAACUAGACGACCUCAUUGCGGGGGCGGAGAGGGAGUGGCCGCCCCCACCAAGGAAGCCAGAGAAGCCACCAGGGCACACAGGCCGCCUCUCCUAAGUCUGUGGGUUCCCUCUGGGCUGAGCGCCGGCAGCAGUCUGGUCUCCCAUCCCUUCCUCUGGGUUCCUUUCUCAAGGGCCAAGGGCGCUCGGGAUUGUAUUUGAGGCCAUCUGGUGGAGAGCAGGGCAUAUAACCGAGGGAUCAAAGCCGAGCUCGCCUCCCGCGGACUCGGAGACUGGGCUGCGCCUGCGGCGAGGAGGGACGGACCAGAGACACCUGAGGCCGGGCGGGAGCCAGACCCAGGGAUGACAGUCCUGGGGUGACCCCCCUGCACCCCGGAGGGAACGCAGCGCGCCCAGAGCAGUCCCAGGUCCUGCCCCUCGCUGCACCCGCGGAGCUCCUCAGGGCUUUACAUCUAGAAGGAGGUCUGAGACUGUCUAUUGAAUUAGCAGCAGCAGCCAUCAGCCAACAAGGGAAGCCAUCUCUUCAUGGAAAGGAAUACCUCUUCGAUUACAAGAGUCCGGCCAUCCUCGAUUCCAGCUCCUGCCCAUCCUGACUGCCCAAGCUCUCCAGCUUCCAACGUGGGUUGUGCAUUCUAAGUCUUCAACCAGAAUCCAUUCAGAAAGGCGAUGCGAACAAGAAAUCUCACAGCUGGACUAUGUAUUCUUGAGCCAAUUCUGUCUUCACUGUUAGAAAAGAGCUGAUAGGCCAGGGCUGGUGGCUCACGCCUGUAAUCCCAGCACUUCGGGAGGCAAAGGAGGGAGGAUCACUUGAGCCCAGAAGUUUGAGGCCAGCCUAGGCAACAUGGCAAAACUCUGUCUUUACAAAAAAAUUUAAAAAAUUAGCGGGGUGCAGUGGCAUGUGUCUGUGGUCUUAGCUACUCAGACGGAGGCUGAGGUGGGAGGAUGGCUUGAGCCCAGGAGGCAAAUGUUGCAGUGAGCCAAGACUGCACCAGUGCACUCCAGCCUGGGCAACAGAGUAAGACCCUGUCUCAAAAAAAAAAAAAAAAAAAAAAUAGAACAUAUAGGCCAGGCGCAGUGGCUCAUGCCUAUAAUCCCAGCACUUUGGGAGGCCGAAGCAGGUGGAUCACUUGAGAUCAGGAGUUUGAAGCCAGCCUGGCCAACAUGGUGAAACCCUGUCUCUGUUAAAAAUACGAAAAUUAUCCAGGAGUGGUGACAUGUGCCUGUAAUCCCAGCUACUAGGGAGGUUGAGGCACAGAAUCGUUUGAACCUAGGAGACAGAGGUUGCAGUGAGCUGAGAUUGUGCCACUGCACUCCAGCCUGGGUGACAGAGCGAGACUCCAUCUCAAAAAAAACACGAAAAAACUGUACAAUCUACCUGCCAGGUAGCAUAGGUGAGUACACACCUGCAAGGGAACUGUGUUCUGCUUCCAUCACUGAGUACAAAAGCCGAGGGGCACAAUGUAGCACAUAACCAUUAAGCAGCAUGAUUUUCAUUCAGUAAAUGUAUGCAGAGGGCCCUGUGUUUCCUGGGACUGCCCUGGGAACUAGGCUAGAGCAGUAAACAAGCAUUGUAGUGAAAUAAUAAUAAUGGUGAUGAUAAUCAUAGGAUGGUAGUAAAUUUUAAUUCCUGCUGGAAAGGAAUGAUAAUUAUAAUUCCUGGAGGGGGUGUCCCACGGAAGAUUCAAAUUAUGAUGCUGUUAUUUAGCUUCUGUUCUGAUAAGAGAAGUACUGCAGGUCACCCUGGUCAUCUUUUGGGAGGGUAGCAUCCCCUUGAAGAUGUGCUUGGAGGGUGGCCCAUGGGUUUCUGCUGCUGGGAAGAUGAGGACUGGAGUACCAUCAGACUGAUUCAAGCAGCAGAAGCCCCCUUGCCUGAGCUUAGAAAACCUGAGCAGAGGCCCCAAGAGCAUCUGUCACAUCCGCUAAGUUCAUGGGACUGGGCAGAACCAGCUGUCAAUGGCGCCACCGUGUGGUGGUGAGAAGCAAUGGCGGCUGCCCAAGGAUGAAAUUCCCAUGCUGACCCCACGGGUGUCAAAGUCAUCACUUCCUGUGACAGCUCCCUUUGGGGACUGUGGGUCCCUAGGUCUUCUGGAAAAUUCAGGGUAAGAGAAUACCCUUUAGGAAAAGCUACUGAGUUUUCUGUCAACAUCUACUAAUGUUCUCCCUGUGUUUGUGAAACAAUUCAUAUCACCUAAACUUUCACUAUGUACCAAUACAUAAAAUAUGUAUUAAUACAAUUAGAUGUACUUUGUUUGAAUAAAAAAUAGCACAUUG